rnacentral:rRNA from 1 species
GACGAACGCUGGCGGCGUGCUUAACACAUGCAAGUCGUACGGUAAGGCCCUUUCGGGGGUACACGAGUGGCGAACGGGUGAGUAACACGUGAGUAACCUGCCCACAACUUUGGGAUAACGCUAGGAAACUGGUGCUAAUACUGGAUAUGUGCUCCUGCUGCAUGGUGGGGGUUGGAAAGCUCCGGCGGUUGUGGAUGGACUCGCGGCCUAUCAGCUUGUUGGUGGGGUAGUGGCCUACCAAGGCGGCGACGGGUAGCCGGCCUGAGAGGGUGACCGGCCACAUUGGGACUGAGAUACGGCCCAGACGCCUACGGGAGGCAGCAGUGGGGAAUAUUGCACAAUGGGCGCAAGCCUGAUGCAGCAACGCCGCGUGCGGGAUGACGGCCUUCGGGUUGUAAACCGCUUUCAGCAGGGACGAAGCUUUUUGUGACGGUACCUGCAGAAGAAGCACCGGCUAACUACGU